rnacentral:rRNA from 1 species
UUUGAUCCUGGCUCAGAUUGAACGCUGGCGGAAUGCUUUACACAUGCAAGUCGAACGGCAGCACGGGGGCAACCCUGGUGGCGAGUGGCGAACGGGUGAGUAAUACAUCGGAACGUGCCCAGUCGGGGGGGAUAACUACGCGAAAGCGUAUCUAAUACCGCAUACGAUCUCUGGUUGAAAGCGGGGGAUCACAACACCUCGCGCGAUUGGAGCGGCCGAUGGAAAAUUAGGUAGUUGGUGGGGUAAAGGCCUACCAAACCAACUAUCUGUAGCUGGUCUGAAAGGACCACCACCCACACUGGGACUGACACACGGCCCACACUCCUACGGGAGGCAGCAGUGGGGAAUUUUGGACAAUGGGCGCAAGCCUGAUCCACCCAUUCCGCGUGCAGGAUGAACGCCCUCGGGUUGUAAACUGUUUUUGUACGGAGCGAAACGCGCUGAGCUAAUACCUCGGCGUAAUGACGGUACCGUAAAAAUAAGCACCGGCUAACUACGUGCCAGCAGCCGCGGUAAUACGUAGGGUGCAAGCGUUAAUCGGAAUUACUGGGCGUAAAGCGUGCGCAGGCGGUGAUGUAAGACAGAUGUGACAUCCCCGGGCUCAACCUGAGAACUGCAUUUGUGACUGCAUCGCUGGAGUGCGGCAGA